rnacentral:rRNA from 1 species
CCUACGGGAGGCAGCAGUAGGGAAUCUUCCACAAUGGUCGAAAGCCUGAUGGAGCAACGCCGCGUGGGUGACGAAGGUCUUCGGAUCGUAAAACCCUGUUGUUAGAGAAGAAAAUGCGUGAGAGUAACUGUUCACGUAUCGACGGUAUCUGACCAGACAGCCACGGCUAACUCCGUGCCAGCAGCCGCGGUAAUACGUAGGUGGCGAGCGUUAUCCGGAGUUAUUGGGCGUAAAGGGAACGCAGGCGGUCUUGUAAGUCGUAUGUCAAAGACUUGGGCUCAACCGUAGUAGGGCAUGGGAUACUGGAAUACUAGAGUAUAAAAGAGGAGUGCGGAAUGCCAGGUGUAGCGGGGAAAUGCGUAGAUAUAAGGAAGAAUACCGGUUGCGAAGGCGGCAAUCUGGCUUGAAACUGACGCUGAGGUGCGAAAGCGUGGGUAGCAAACAGGAUUAGAUACCCUUGUAGUC